rnacentral:rRNA from 1 species
UUUCACACUGUCAAGAAAAGCCGCGCGUACCGGCGAACGGAAGCCUGACCGUUCUAAAAACCGACACAGGUAGGCUAGUUGAGAAGACUAAGGGGAGCGGGAGAACCUCCGCUAAGGAACUAGGCAAAAUGGCCCCGUAACUUCGGGAGAAGGGGCGCUCCUGCGGGUUAAGAGCUAGCGGGAGCUGCAAAGACCAGGCUCUGGCGACUGUUUACCAAAAACACAGGACUCUGCGAACACGAUGAGUGGACGUAUAGGGUCUGACGCCUGCCCAGUGCUGGAAGGUUAAGGGGAGUGGUCAGCGCGAGCGAAGCUACGAACCGAAGCCCCAGUAAACGGCGGCCGUAACUAUAACGGUCCUAAGGUAGCGAAAUUCCUUGUCGGGCAAGUUCCGACCUGCAUGAAUGGCGUAACGAUCGGAGCACUGUCUCAGCGGAGGGCCCGGUGAAAUUCCAAUCUUGGUGAAGAUGCCAAGUUACCCGCGAUUAGACGGCAAGACCCCAUGAAGCUUUACUGUAUCCUAAUAUGGUAUAGUGGUGGAAGGCGUACAGGAUAGGUGGGAGGCAGCGAACGCAGCGCGUCAGCGCUGCGGGAGCCGACGGUGGGAUACCACCCUCCUUCCAGCGUUAUACUAACCGAGGUAGGUGGAGAGCCUAUCAGGGACAGUGUUAGGGGGGCAGUUUGACUGGGGCGGUCGCCUCCAAAAAGGUAACGGAGGCGCGCGAAGGUGGGCUCAGGCUGGUUGGGAAUCAGCUGGCGAGUGCAAGGGCAAAAGCCCGCCUGACAGUGAGAGAGACAUCUCGAGCUGAGACGAAAGUCGGUCCUAAUGACCAGGUGGUGCUGUGUGGAAAGGCCAUCGCUCAACGGACAAAAGCUACUCUGGGGAUAACAGGCUGAUGCCGUCCGAGAGUCCAUAUCGACGACGGUGUUUGGCACCUCGAUGUCGGCUCAUCGCAUCCUGGGGCUGUAGUCGGUCCCAAGGGUUGGGCUGUCCGCCCAUUAAAGCGGUACGUGAGCUGGGUUCAGAACGUCGUAAGACAGUUCGGUCCCUAUCUGUCGCGGGCGCAGGAUACUUGAGAAGGCUUCUCCCCAGUACGAGAGGACCGGGAGGAGUGGACCGCUGGUGAACCAGUUGUGCUACCAAGCGCAUAAGCUGGGUAUCUAAGUCCAUGAGUGAUAAGCGCUGAAAGCAUCUAAGCGCGAAACAUGCUUCAAGAUGAGGUAUCCCAUCGAAAGAGUAAGGGCUGUUCGAGAACAGGACGUAGAUAGGCCGCAGGUGGAAGCGGUGCGAGCCGUGCAGCCGAGCGGUACUAAUCGCCCGAGGCCUUGACC